GGCGGCGAGCGGCGUUCUUGGACUCUGAGGACGCAGUGGCUAGGCGCUGGAAGGUGGAGCCGGCGUGGUUUGAGAUCACUCAUUCUGGGGAAGAAAGCUCCCAUGUCAUGAAGACAAUCAUGCGGCUUUACAGAGAGAGAUACAUGUAGUGAGGAACUGAGGUCUCCUGCAACUUGCAAGCCAUGUGUCACAUAAUAUAGUUAAAUGACCACUGAAUGAAGAAUAAGAGAAGUUUUAGACCUAGCCAUAUUUUCUGAAUUUCCCAGAGUUGUGUGACCCAGUCAGUAACAGAUAUAUGAAAAUGCCUUGUAAAUUAUAAAGAAAUCUGUAUAAUCCUUUCCACCAUUUUUAGUUUUUCGGGGAACAUUGAGUGAUAAUCCUGUUUAAGGAAUGAACAUUUUAAUCUUUGUAAUAAAAAGAAUUUCAGUGGAUUAAUUUGAGGGACCUAACUUUUAAUUAAAAUAUUGUGAUUUCAGAAAAGAAAAAUACCAUAAGGCCUUCAAACCAAGUUAUACAUUUUUCUUGUAACUAACUGUAGUGUUCAUUAUAGGCUGAAUUGUGCCCCCCCACCCUAAAUUUAUAUUUUGAAGCUCGACCUCCAGUACCUCAGAAUGUGACUUUAUUUGGAGAUAGGACCUUUAAAGAGGUAAUUAAAUUAAAAUGGGUUUGCCCAGGUGGACUCUAAGCCAAUAUGACUGCUGUCCUUACAAGAAUGGGAGGUUAGGACACAGACAGAAGACUAUGUGCAAACAAGAAGAUCACAACAUGCAAGCCAAGGAGAGAGGGCUGAGUAGAAACAACCCUGCAAAGACCUUGCUCUUGGACUUACAGCCUCUAGAAUUGUGAGAAAAUAAAUUUCUGUUGUUUAAGCUACCUCGUCUAUGGCAAUUUGUUAUGUGAGCCCUAGAAAACAAAUCCACUGCUUUAUUGUAAAAAAAAAAAAAAAUGUCAGUCAGUGGCAUAUGUCCCAGAACAGCAUGCAUUCUUUCUUAGAAGUUUCACUAAUAUCCAAAAGAUUACUUCUUAGAAACAGAAAAAGUUGGUAAUUUUACUGUUUUAAUGUUGUAGUUCACAUUAUUCCUGAUU